UACGGGGGGGGGUAAGCGUUAUUCGGAAUUACUGGGCGUAAAGGGCGCGUAGGCGGUACUUCAAGUCAGGCGUGAAAGCCCCGGGCUCAACCUGGGAACCGCGCUUGAGACUGGAGAACUAGAGUUCGGGAGAGGAUGGUGGAAUUCCCAGUGUAGAGGUGAAAUUCGUAGAUAUUGGGAAGAACACCGAUGGCGAAGGCAGCCAUCUGGACCGACACUGACGCUCAUGCACGAAAGCGUGGGGAGCAAACAGG
rnacentral:rRNA from 1 species